GAUGAAGAACGUAGCGAAAUGCGAUAAGUAAUGUGAAUUGCAGAAUUCAGUGAAUCAUCGAAUCUUUGAACGCACCUUGCGCCCUUUGGCAUUCCGAAGGGCAUGCCUGUUUGAGUAUCAUGAACACCUCAACUCUUCAUGGUUUUCCAUGAUGAGCUUGGACUUUGGGGGUCUUGCUGGCCUGCGGUCGGCUCCUCUCAAAUGAAUCAGCUUACCAGUGUUUGGUGGGCAUCACAGGUGUGAUAACUAUCUGCGCUUGUGGUUUUCCACCAAGUAACCUUCAGCAGUGGAGGUUCACUGGAGCUCACAGACGUCUCUCCUCAGUGAGGACAGCCCUUUGAAUGUUUGAUCUCAAAUCAGGUAGGACUACCCGCUGAACUUAAGCAUAUCAAUAAGCAGAGGA
rnacentral:misc_RNA from 1 species